rnacentral:rRNA from 1 species
AUUGAACGCUGGCGGCAUGCCUUACACAUGCAAGUCGAACGGCAGCGGACCUUCGGGUGCCGGCGAGUGGCGAACGGGUGAGUAGUGCAUCGGAACGUACCUUUCAGUGGGGGAUAACGUAGCGAAAGUUACGCUAAUACCGCAUAUUCUGUGAGCAGGAAAGCAGGGGAUCGCAAGACCUUGCGCUGAUUGAGCGGCCGAUGUCAGAUUAGCUGGUUGGUGAGGUAAAGGCUCACCAAGGCGACGAUCUGUAGCGGGUCUGAGAGGAUGAUCCGCCACACUGGGACUGAGACACGGCCCAGACUCCUACGGGAGGCAGCAGUGGGGAAUUUUGGACAAUGGGGGCAACCCUGAUCCAGCCAUGCCGCGUGAGUGAAGAAGGCCUUCGGGUUGUAAAGCUCUUUCGGCCGGGAAGAAAUCGCACAGGCUAAUACCUUGUGUGGAUGACGGUACCGGAAUAAGAAGCACCGGCUAACUACGUGCCAGCAGCCGCGGUAACAC